CAUGUAGGCGGUUGGAUAAGUCUGUUGUUAAAGCCCCCGGCUCAACUGGGGGAGGUCAAUGGAGACUGUCCGACUUGAGGGCAACAGAGGCACAUGGAACUCCCGGUGUAGCGGUGGAAUGCGUAGAGAUCGGGAAGAACACCCGUGGCGAAGGCGGUGUGCUGGGUUGCAACUGACGCUGAGAUGCGAAAGUGUGGGUAGCAAACG
rnacentral:rRNA from 1 species